CAAAAGAGAAGCAGGAGAAGGAGGGAGGUCUCCCUUGUCCUUUUCCCAGCAGAGCACAGCACGGCAGCCUGGGCUUUUACAUGUGCAUGUAAUCUUGUGCCCACAUGGGUAUAUAUACUCAUGUUUUCAGCUUUGUACUUUUAUUUUGGAUAAACCCAGUGAGCAGAGGCCCCUGUGCCCUGCUGGGCUGGGCCAGCCCUGCGGCACCCUGCCCACCUGAGGGCCGUGGCACUCUGCCUGCCAUGGUGGCACCCAAGUCCCUCUGUGUUUCUGCUUUCUGCCACCCCUGAGAACCUCAGCUGCUUCCCCACAGAUCACCAUCGCAGGCUAUGGCUGAAGCGAAUCCCCACAGGGCGAACCCUCUUGGGCAGGGCUUCACUGCCAGGCAGGGCUGCCCACACACUGAGCUCUUACUGAACAGCCCAGCAGUCAGUGAGAGAGGCUGUGGCACAGGCACCACAGAAGGUGCCAGGUGCUCUGAUGACCACAUUAGGCCCAUUAUGCUGGAUUAAUUAAUGCAGAAGGUCAGUGUAGGACACUGAGUGUUGAUGAGGAAGACCUGUGAUGCCCUGGGCCCUGCCUGGGCCAGGGGAGGCUCCAAGGAGUGGCUCAUCAGGUGGUACAGAAAUGCUGAAGUGAUACACACUGACAAUUUGGACAAUUUUCAAGUUGAGAAAUUAAUCAAAACCAACAUUUUCCUGCAAAGGUUUCAUUUUCAACCAAGCAGGCCUCUUCUGAUUAAAGAAGUUGCAUAAAAAUUCUUAUUCAUCUCUGCGCAGGAGCACUGCUGUAGCUGUUGGGGACUAAGGGACAGAGGUAUUACCACCACUCACUUCAUACCCUGCACUAAGUGGAUGUUAGAGCAGAAGCAGAAGCUUUUGUCUGCAAGAGGAGCAAGCACAAGUUGCUUAUUUCAUCAAGAGGUAAGUCACAUGUUCUAAGUAACGCAAGUCCAAUGUAUAUUUGAGAUACUGCACAACAGAGCAUUGAGGGGCUGUUUAACUGAAUUAAACCUUAACUGUAUGCAAACAAGCCAGAACAGCAUCUGGGAUCAGUAUCUUCAAGUCACUGAAAGUUACUAUGACCCUAUGUCUGAAGAAACUAUCACGACUAAUUCAAUUUAAUGAUAUACAGGAUUUCAGUUCAAAGAUCAUAGAAUUCCCUUGAAACUCUGCAGCAUCUUCAAAAGACAUAGAAUAUAAACAGGAAACGGGAUACUCUGGACCACAAU